AUGUGCCGUGGGGCGCCCCAGGACCAGGAGCUGGUGGGCCCGGGGUCUCCUGGGCGGGGGUCCCGGGGCGCCCCUCCUCCCUCGGGACUUGUCCCGGUCCUCAUCUUUCCCCCGGACCUAGUAUUCAGGGCGGACCAGCGGAGCGGACCCCGGCAGCUGCUGACCCUCUAUAACCCCAUGGGAGCUGCGCUUCGCUUCCGAGUCCUGUGCACAGCACCUGCCAAAUACACGGUGUUUGACGCAGAAGGAUAUGUGAAACCUCAAUCCUGCACUGACAUUGUGAUUCGCCAGGUGGCCCCCAUUCCCAGCCACUAUGACAUCCAGGACCGCUUCCGCAUUGAGCUGUCUGAGGAGGGAGCUGAGGGUCGAGUGGUGGGGCGCAAGGACAUCACCUCAGUUCUGAGGGCCCCAGCCUACCCCCUUGAGCUUCAGGGACAGCCUGACCCAACACCCCACCCAGGGCCUCCUUCCUGGACAGCACCACCCACGGCCAGACACUUCCCAGAGAACCGCCCCCCACAACUGGCCACCAGCUCCUUCCUCCUCUUCUUGCUGACGGGCAUAGUCUCUGUGGCCUUCCUGCUGCUCCCACUCCAGGACGAGCUUGGCAGCCAGCUGCCCCAAAUCCUGCACGUCUCCCUGGGACAGAAGUUGGUGGCAGCGUACAUCUUGGGACUCCUCACCAUGGUGUUCCUUCGGACCUGAGCUCCCUGCUCAACCUCCCCCCACCUCCUGGGGCAGGGACUUGGAAGUGCACAUGAGACAGCCACUCUGAUGCUCAUGCCUCGCCUCAAUUCCUCCUCCUCUUCUUCCUGCCCAUCCGCCCUCCCCCAGGCACCCAGGGAUUUGUAU